CACAUAUUACCCAAGUAUAAAUUAAUAUAUUAAAUAAAAUAAAUACCAGUACCCAGCAUUUGAUUCCCAUACUCCCCAAGAGUAAAAAUAUUUGUGCUUGUGGUACUGUAAAAAUUGAAAUGGUUGAAUUUGUCAGAAGAAGAAAUACAUUCACAGAUUCGAUGCCAUUAGUAGAAACUGAAGUUUCAAGUAGACCUGAAGUAGAAGGAUUUUUAGAGGAAUAUGAGAGACGAAAUUAUUUUCAGAUUAUGAAAGAUAAAUAUAGAGAAUCAGGACAAGUUAGAAAUGUUUUCCUAUACAAUAUAGAGUUAACUUAUUUGUUUUGAGUACCGGUAUAUAAUAAAUGAUAUUUUUGCAUAGUAAGACAUCAAUAUAAGAUAGAUACUGUUAAGUCAAUUCAAUCAAUUAAGCAUUAAAAUAUCAAUGCUUCAAAUAAGAUUGCCAGAUUUUCAAAUCUGAAAAGAGGG
rnacentral:lncRNA from 1 species